GCGUACACGGUGGAUGCCCUGGCAGUCAGAGGCGAUGAAGGACGUGCUAAUCUGCGAUAAGCGUCGGUAAGGUGAUAUGAACCGUUAUAACCGGCGAUUUCCGAAUGGGGAAACCCAGUGUGAUUCGUCACACUAUCAUUAACUGAAUCCAUAGGUUAAUGAGGCGAACCGGGGGAACUGAAACAUCUAAGUACCCCGAGGAAAAGAAAUCAACCGAGAUUCCCCCAGUAGCGGCGAGCGAACGGGGAGCAGCCCAGAGCCUGAAUCAGUGUGUGUGUUAGUGGAAGCGUCUGGAAAGGCGCGCGAUACAGGGUGACAGCCCCGUACACAAAAAUGCACAUGCUGUGAGCUCGAUGAGUAGGGCGGGACACGUGGUAUCCUGUCUGAAUAUGGGGGGACCAUCCUCCAAGGCUAAAUACUCCUGACUGACCGAUAGUGAACCAGUACCGUGAGGGAAAGGCGAAAAGAACCCCGGCGAGGGGAGUGAAAAAGAACCUGAAACCGUGUACGUACAAGCAGUGGGAGCACGCUUAGGCGUGUGACUGCGUACCUUUUGUAUAAUGGGUCAGCGACUUAUAUUCUGUAGCAAGGUUAACCGAAUAGGGGAGCCGAAGGGAAACCGAGUCUUAACUGGGCGUUAAGUUGCAGGGUAUAGACCCGAAACCCGGUGAUCUAGCCAUGGGCAGGUUGAAGGUUGGGUAACACUAACUGGAGGACCGAACCGACUAAUGUUGAAAAAUUAGCGGAUGACUUGUGGCUGGGGGUGAAAGGCCAAUCAAACCGGGAGAUAGCUGGUUCUCCCCGAAAGCUAUUUAGGUAGCGCCUCGUGAAUUCAUCUCCGGGGGUAGAGCACUGUUUCGGCAAGGGGGUCAUCCCGACUUACCAACCCGAUGCAAACUGCGAAUACCGGAGAAUGUUAUCACGGGAGACACACGGCGGGUGCUAACGUCCGUCGUGAAGAGGGAAACAACCCAGACCGCCAGCUAAGGUCCCAAAGUCAUGGUUAAGUGGGAAACGAUGUGGGAAGGCCCAGACAGCCAGGAUGUUGGCUUAGAAGCAGCCAUCAUUUAAAGAAAGCGUAAUAGCUCACUGGUCGAGUCGGCCUGCGCGGAAGAUGUAACGGGGCUAAACCAUG
rnacentral:rRNA from 1 species